rnacentral:rRNA from 1 species
UACAGAGGGUGCGAGCGUUAAUCGGAAUUACUGGGCGUAAAGCGCGUGUAGGCGGCUUUGCAAGUCGGGUGUGAAAGCCCUCAGCUCAACUGAGGAAGUGCGCCCGAAACUGCAGAGCUUGAGUGCCGGAGAGGGUGGCGGAAUUCCCCAAGUAGAGGUGAAAUUCGUAGAUAUGGGGAGGAACACCGGUGGCGAAGGCGGCCACCUGGACGGUAACUGACGCUGAGACGCGAAAGCGUGGGUAGCAAACAGG